rnacentral:rRNA from 1 species
GCACAGCAAUGUGUUCAGCUGACAUUUACUAAUCGGUCGAGGGCUUGACCAA